rnacentral:rRNA from 1 species
AUUGAACGCUGGCGGCAGGCCUAACACAUGCAAGUCGAGCGAGCGGCGGACGGGUGAGUAAUGUCUGGGAAACUGCCUGAUGGAGGGGGAUAACUACUGGAAACGGUAGCUAAUACCGCAUACCAUCAGAUGUGCCCAGGUGGGUUUAGCUGGUAGGUGGGGUAACGGCUCACCUAGGGGACGAUGCCUAGCUGGUCUGAGAGGAUGACCAGCCACACUGGAACUGGGACACGGUCCAGACUCCUACGGGAGGCAGCAGUGGGGAAUAUUGCACAAUGGGGGCAAGCCUGAUGCAGCCAUGCGGCGUGUGUGAAGAAGGCCUUCGGGUUGUAAAGCACUUUCAGCGGGGAGGCGUUACCCGCUGAAGAAGCACCGGCUAACUCCGUGCCAGCCGCCGCGGUAAUUC